CCUACGGGGUGCAGCAGUGGGGAAUAUUGCACAAUGGGGGAAACCCUGAUGCAGCGACGCCGCGUGAGUGAAGAAGUAACUCGUUAUGUAACGCUCUAUCAGCAGGGAAGAAAAUGACGGUACCUGAGUAAUAAGCCCCUGCUAACUCCGUGCCAGCAGCCGCGGUAAUACGUAGGGGGCAAGCUUUAUCCUGAUUUACUGGGUGUAACGGGAGCGUAGGCGGCAGUGCAAGUCUGGAGUGAAAUGCCGGGGCUCAACCCCCGGACUGCUCUGGAAACUGUACGGCUGGAGGGCAGAAGAGGUAAGUGGAAUUCCUAGUGUAGCGGUGAAAUGCGUAGAGAUGAGGAGGAACACCAGUGGCGAAGGCGGCUUACUGGACUGUAACUGACGUUGAGGCUCGAAAGCGUGGGGAGCAAACAGGAUUAGAUACCCUUGUAGUC
rnacentral:rRNA from 1 species